rnacentral:tRNA from 1 species
GGGGGUGUAGCUCAGUGGUAGAGCGCUUGGCUAGUAUUGAGGGUCUGGGUUCAAAUCCCCAGCCCUG